CCUGUUCCCUAAUCUUUGUAAUUCCCUUCUCCAUUAUCGGAAAGGUUUCUCCCAUCUACACCACCAUUCCUCCCUUCGAUUCGUCGCACUCUUCACCACCACUACGGUUACCGACGUGCUCGUCACCACCACCACCACUGAGGCGCUCGUCACCACCACCACUCCGUUAGGAAACAAAGAGAAGACUCGAGAUCUGGAGUCUGUCGACGAAUCUCUCAAGGUCUUUGAGAUUGCCCGCCAACGAGUCCAUCAACGAAUCUCUCAACAGUUCUCCGUCCCUCCCUUACCGAUUUAAAAAAUUAUUAAUCUUGGAUGGGUUUGGAUCACAAAGAAGCUGAAUCACCACCUGGAACUCUGUGUUUACAUGCAUUUUCAGAUUUAACCCAUGUUUCUCCGCUUGUGUUCUUAUACCUUCUCAAAGAAUGCUAUAUUCAUGGAAGCCUCAAGGCAACAAAGAAGUUCCAAGAGUUGCAGCACCGAGUCCAUCAAGUUCUCGCCAACGUAUGUGUGUAUGUUGGUGAUGCAGUGGUUCGCGCGAAGAUGCUACCAGGAUUGGAUUAGCUGGUGUGGUUAGGAGGCAGGCUGUGGCUAGGAGGACAGCAGAUGGUGGUAGAGAUAUAUAGAGAAGGAGACGGAGUAGAGGAAGACGUCGAGUCGUCGAGAAGAAAGAGGCAAAGCAGGAAGGAGGCGGCAGUAGAGAGAUUAGGUUUAGGGGUAAUUAUGUUUAGAUUUGGUUUAAGGUUAAUUAGAUUUUGGUUAAUGGUUUCUGGUUUAGUUUACUUAAUUUUUUUAAAUGCUGGUUUAGUUUUGUAAAACUAAUUUCAUUUGUAAAUUAUUUUAAUUAAUAAAUAAAAUUCAAUUUUAGUUUUAA